UGAAAUGCGUAGAGAUCUGGAGGAAUACCGGUGGCGAAGGCGGCCCCCUGGACAAAGACUGACGCUCAGGUGCGAAAGCGUGGGGAGCAAACAGGAUUAGAUACCCUGGUAGUCCACGCCGUAAACGAUGUCGAUUUGGAGGUUGUGCCCUUGAGGCGUGGCUUCCGGAGCUAACGCGUUAAAUCGACCGCCUGGGGAGUACGGCCGCAAGGUUAAAACUCAAAUGAAUUGACGGGGGCCCGCACAAGCGGUGGAGCAUGUGGUUUAAUUCGAUGCAACGCGAAGAACCUUACCUGGUCUUGACAUCCACAGAACUUUCCAGAGAUGGAUUGGUGCCUUCGGGAACUGUGAGACAGGUGCUGCAUGGCUGUCGUCAGCUCGUGUUGUGAAAUGUUGGGUUAAGUCCCGCAACGAGCGCAACCCUUAUCCUUUGUUGCCAGCGGUCCGGCCGGGAACUCAAAGGAGACUGCCAGUGAUAAACUGGAG
rnacentral:rRNA from 1 species